rnacentral:lncRNA from 1 species
GCACGGUGGCCGGCGAGCCAUCGCGACUGCGCCGCCGCGCCGGAGACAAAAGAGUCUCCCCUUUAUGGAUUUUUAACCUAAAAUUUCACCCUCUUCUCGAUUCUGACCUCGAAAUUUCCACAACAGUUAAAUUGAAACCUAGAUCUAAAGAAUUAAUAAAAAGAGACUACCUUUUGCGUUGUCUUUGGGUCCGCUCACGAUCGGUUGAUUUGCGGCGGUUUUGUUUGCGGUGGAGUGAGCUCCGGUUGUUGCCUUGUGCUCCGGUACGUUCCGACUCGGCUUCGACGCGUCUGUUUGCUUCUGUUGGUGUAUGAAUCCGAUUCAGUGGUUCCGGCGAUCCGCUGCAGCUCGUUCAUUACCUGGUGUUGGGCUCGACGUCAGUUGAUUGUGCGACCGGUUUAUGGCUGUACGUCGUGU